AAUUCGAUUGAGUUUGAUCAUGGCUCAGGAUGAACGCUGGCGGCGCGCUUAACACAUGCAAGUCAAGGGGGCCCAGCAAUGGGCAACCGGCGAACGGGUGCGUAACACGUGAGCAACCUACCCAGGUGUGGGGGAUAGCCGUCCCAACGGACGGGUAAUACCGCAUACGCUCUUCUUUAGGCAUUUAGAGAAGAGGAAACCUUCGGGGCACCAUGAGGGGCUCGCGGCCUAUCAGCUAGUUGGCGAGGUAACGGCUCACCAAGGCUACGACGGGUAGCUGGUCUGAGAGGAUGGCCAGCCACAUUGGGACUGAGAAACGGCCCAGACUCCUACGGGAGGCAGCAGUGGGGAAUCUUGCGCAAUGGCCUAACGGCUGACGCAGCGACGCCGCGUGAGGGAUGACGCUCUUCGGAGUGUAAACCUCUUUUGCCCGGAACGAAUUGCCACCAUCAGGUGGCUUGACGGUACCGGUUGAAUAAGCACCGGCUAACUCCGUGCCAGCAGCCGCGGUAAUACGGGGGGUGCGAGCGUUGUCCGGAAUCACUGGGCGUAAAGGGCGCGUAGGUGGCGUGAUAAGGGUGUGGUGAAAGCCCGGGGCUCAACCCCGGGUCUGCCAUGCCGACUGUCAGGCUCGAGUACUGUAGGGGCAGGCGGAAUUCCGGGUGUAGCGGUGGAAUGCGUAGAGAUCCGGAGGAAGACCGGUGGCGAAGGCGGCCUGCUGGGCAGUUACUGACACUGAGGCGCGACAGCGUGGGGAGCAAACAGGA
rnacentral:rRNA from 1 species